UGAAAAUAAAAUUUUAAGCUGAUUUCAAAUCCUGGAUGAAUAGAAGCUUUGGCUAUCCUUUACUAUAAUUUUAAUACCUUUAAUAUAUCACUUAAAACUGAGGCCAGCCAUUGAGAAUUCAUAUUCUAGAAGGGAAAAAUUGUGGAAGUUCAUCAAAUGUUAGUCACCAUCGAUACUUUAAUAUUUAUUUAGAACUGUUGAUAUUUCUAAUCCUUACUGAGAAUGCACGUUAGAUUUUAAAUUUUAAGAUUAAUUGUUAGACAUAAAUAUUUUUGAAGAAUUGAAUAUAAUGGUCCCCUUGUUCAAAUGAAAGACAUCUAAAUUCAUUCUAUGAAUAAACAUUUUAUUUCUUUGCCCCAUCCCUACCGCCACCACCUCUUUUCCAGGGACUCGCCCUAAUAGGAGCAAUUUAUAAGGUUUUGCAUUGGAUUAUAGCAAAAAAGAUGUGGAGAAUUAGAUUUGUUUUAAAGCUAAAAUCCUCAGUUUUCACAGGAUGUUCUAUGUUAGGGUUGGUGGUAAAAAAAAAUUUUCUCCCAAUUUUUAAAAGUACACAAUAAUGCUAGGGAAUUUAUAGCAGGUAAUGGCUUUGAAGUGAAUUUUGUAUUUUUAAGCCAUUACCAUUAAUGUGACAAAAUGCAAUUAGCAUCCUUCAAGCCCUCUCAAUAUCUGCUCCUAUAUAAAGCUUCUAUGUUGCAUUACACAUGUACACAAUUCGAUAGCUCCAAUAAUAAUUAUAUGUAUCUAACUAGACAGCCAUAGUAACAACUGUGGUUUAAAUACUGUUUUUACAUAAGCUCUUUUUCUCUUUGAGAACUUUUGUUAGAAAAAUAUAAAUACUAUUUAACAAUGAAUAUUGUAAAUUAGAUAUCCAUUUUGAAAAUCAAAAUCUGAAGAAAUUAAAUACAAGAAUAAUAUUUAAAAGAGAAAAACAUUUUAGGGCUUUGAGAAAUUAGUGACAAUACAUUUUGAUUUGGUUAAGAUUUACUAUGGCUAGUUGUUCCUAAGGAAGUUUUAUCACAUUUGCUAACAAAUGAGAGAAUGCUGAAAUAAGAAAGCAUUUAAAGCUCAGUCCAUGCUAAUUGCCAGAUAUAAUCUUAAUCAGUAGCAUAUAAAAUCCUAAAACAGUAUAUUUAUUUAUAUCACUCUUUGUAGGAAAAUGUUAUAUAUCAUUUAAUAGCUAAACAUUUUUGUAUAAUUUUCUCCUAUGAUCAUAAAAAAAUCAUGUAACUAGGUAUCUAUUCUCAAUUAAAGUUUGUAUGCUUCACAAUAUCCCAUGUUCAUGCUAAAAGUGCCCAAAAUUAAAAUACACUUUUAGAUCCUCCGAUAAAUAAAGUAUAGUUAAGAGUGUUCCAACCAGUCCAUUUUUUAUUCUGUAAAUAUAUUCUUCAAGAUAAGAGUUCUUUCUUUAUUUUUAUGUAAUAUUGCUCUUUUAUUUUUUUGCUUAUAUGCAUUCUGUUUUUAUUUUUGGGUCUGGCAACUUAAAAGGAGAUAAAUCAAAUUUUUUAAAAAAUUCAUGUCCAUCCAUUACUAUCGCUGUGAUCCAAGUGCUUGAAAUUUCUAAGAGUAUGUGUAAGUGUUCUAUCUGUUUGGCAUUUUGAUAUACUUGCAGACUUCAUUUUGUUUUUUCUCUAAUUCUGUUCAUUUAUUUAACCUCAUGAGAAGAGAACAUAAUCAUACUUUUAUAUUCUGUACUGCAUCCUUCCAUCUUAUUCAUAACCCUGCUGCUUUGAAUCAUACUUGUUCUGGGAAGAAGGGUUGAUAGAAAACAUGAACAGUUAUAAUAUCUACCAUAAAAUAUGUUGGAGAAAUGAAUUUAAAAAAUAGUGCAUAUAAAAGGAUCUGCCUUUUUUUAACAAGCACAAACACUUGGGAGGUUGAUCUAUCCAUUUAUCUUGUAAAAAAAACUUGGAAUAGAGUUGUUACAAUUCUGUCAUUUGGAGGAUAAUUAUGAUUUAAGCAAACAAUAAAGCUAAGCACUUAUGUGUCAAUGUAAUGUGCUGUAUAAAAAAGAAAUACAAUAUACAACUUCCAUAUUACUAAAUAGUGUCCUGAAAAGAAUCUAAAAUAUGCUUUGCAUUGCUAAAUGUCAGUUUUUGUAAUUAGAAAGACUUUCCCACAUGUGUUACUGAGUUAAAUGUAUUAUUACUAGUGCUGCCUUUUUAACAUGGAAGAGUGCUCAGUCUGUAAUUUGUGAUUACAAGCAUCACUGAAGGCAACUUGUUAUAGUUUUGAUUCAGACAAAUAUCAGUAAAAGUCAAAGAGACAAGAGGUGACUUUCUCAGCUCUCAUUUCAUAAUUAAGCUCUGAAAAGACACACUUUUGACGCCUGGGGGAAUCUUCCUGUUUGAUUGGGUUAGAGAUCAUGCUGAUGAUUGAUUAGCUAAAUAAAUGGAAGAAUCUUGCCAAAACUAAGAAGCUAUCAUCUGUGAACGUUUUCAAAGAAUAGGAAAGGAAAUCAGUCACCCCUUGUCCAUGCCCUUACUGGGAAUAUUGUUAUAGAAUCAACCCUAUGUCUUUCAGUUACCAUUGAAUUUUGAAGUACAAAUCAAACUUUUGUGGUUAUUUAAGUUGAGAUUACAAAGCAGCUGGGCAAAUGUCAUUUGAUUAGUUGUAAUUUUAGCUAUAUAUAAAUUCACACUGUAUUUCUAAUACCAUGUGGGCAUGCUGGAACAUUUGUGCUCAUAAUGAGAUCAUCAGCAAUGCCUUAGGUUUAAGAUUCAGAUUGGUUUUUACUUAUUGGGUAAUUAGAAUCACAAAAAUGUGCCCAUCAGAAACUUGUUUAUGAUGUAAUUUGUGAAACUCCAUGGAAUAUUUUAUAACUUUUCUAAUACAUGUAAGAAAAUGACUAAAUGAUGCAUUCAAGUUCAACUGCUAAGAUGAGGAAUGUUGAAUCCCUUUGUCAAUUGCUAUAACUUUUUGUCUUUCUUUCUAGCUCUCAAAAUAGAACUUAGCUAGAAAGGGAGUCGAUAAUCAUGAGCUGGGUGAUGGAAGAAGAUUGGGUUUUUUUAAUGUUAUAUUCCUCAUCUCUUUUAUUUCUUUCCAUGUUAAUUGGAUGGGCCCAUGAAAAGAAAUGCAUGUGUAACACAAUUGCCUAUAGCUAUGCAUCAUUGGUAGAUUUUUUGCUUACUGUAAUUAUAACUCCAGAACAGUUCACUAUGUCUUAGAAGUAUAGUGUGAUUUUUAGUUCAUACUUUAAUUUGUGGUGGUGGAUAAAGGCAGCUGUCAGUUCAGUGAACUAAAAUUGAAGUGGUUUGCCCCAUUUAUAGUAAUACCUACCUACCAAAUUCUUGCCAUGGAAAUCCUAUUUAAUGUUGUCUAUCAAUAUCUUUAAUAUCUGACAGGAAUCCUAGUUCAUACGAACUAUUUCUAAAUAUGUUUUAUUUAAGUAGAUAUAGAUGCACACAUUUUCCUUGCUUAAAGAAAGUAUGUGCCAGAAUGAGUGUAAACUAUUUUUCCUUUAAAAACAAAACAAAACAGUUCUCUGGUAUUUGGAAAUGCACCGAGAGAAACAAAAUGUUUAAAGAAUCUUUAUAAAACAAUGUUAUUUUGCACUGUGAAGGAAUAUCAAAUUGUUUUAGGUCUACUAAAACUAUUAAAAAUGGGGUGGAUAUUAAAGGGAAAUAUUUGUAUGCUUGACACUGGUGAGCUUUUCACUUGCUUGCAAAAAUACAAAAUUGGAAGUUCCAGCUGUUGAAAAAGCAGAUAUUGCAUUUUCCUGGGAAAACGGCAAUUAUGUUUUUCUACACAAGAUUAUGUUAACCUCUAUUUAAACGUAUUGCUCAAUAAUCCUGUUUAUUAAUUUUGCAAAUACUGUUAAGAUUAAAUAUUCUUGACCAAACUGAACUUUUGGAGAAAAAAAUUAAUGGCAGCUAAUGAAAAAUUCUGAAUUAAUGGCCCAAAUCCUAGGAAUAUUUAAUUGAACUUGGCAUGUCUUAUGUUCACGCAAACAUGGUUAUAACAAUGUUAUGAUGUGUUAGCAUUUCAUUUUUUUUCUUCAUAAAAAGAAAAGAUUGAUCCAAAAUAAAUUUAGAUUACUUAUAUUUAAAGUAAGUAAAUGCUGUGAAAUGAAAUAAUCAGAUGCAUAGAUGCAUAGAUAGAAGUCAUAUGCAAGUGUGAUAUACAUUGUAAAUUAAAUUUUUUGCCAGGGAGCAUUUAUUUAAAAAAUGGUAGUGAAAUAUAUUAGCAAGUGUUAAUCAUAGACAACAAACAGUAGUGCUUUUUUCUAGAAAGCCCUAACUAAAGCUGCUUUUGGAGUCUAAGAAAGAUUUUCUAUGUGUCAGAAUGUCAAAGUUCCAAGCAAAUGUAGAAAGGCUUAAUGUCAUAAAAGACAUGAAUUGUGAGUACUUUACUAUUCAUAUCAGUUAGUCCAGGGCAUGUAAUGUCUCAAUAUUAAAAUACCUUAUAAUUAUCUCAAUAUUGUAAAAAUAUGUAUAAAUAUAGUCAGAUGGUAUUUGGAAUUUCAAAUUGUUAAACAUCUUUGGAAAGUUUCAUUUAUUUUGUUUUAGUAUGUAUUCAAUUUUGAAGUGUUCUCUUGCAAAUAUUUGAGGAAUUCUGAUAACAGUAUACAACAGCUUUAUACUAUAGCACUACUAUUUUUAUAUUACCUCUUACAGUAAAACAAAGGCUUAAAGCCUAAGUAUUAGAUGAAAUAAUAAAAUGAAUUUGAAUUGAAACAACAUCCUUUAAAAUUAAUCGUACUUU